rnacentral:rRNA from 1 species
GAGUUUGAUCCUGGCUCAGAAUCAACGCUGGCGGCGUGCCUAACACAUGCAAGUCGAACGAGAAAGGGAUUUCGGUCCUGAGUAUAGUGGCGCACGGGUGAGUAACACGUGACUAAUCUACCCUCGAGUGGGGAAUAACUGGAAGAAAUUUCAGCUAAUACCGCAUAACACUUACGAGUCAAAGCAAGCAAUUGCGCUUGGGGAGGAGGUCGCGGCAGAUUAGCUAGUUGGCGGGGUAAUGGCCCACCAAGGCGAUGAUCUGUAUCCGGCCUGAGAGGGCGCACGGACACACUGGAACUGAAACACGGUCCAGACUCCUACGGGAGGCAGCAGUGGGGAAUUUUGCGCAAUGGGGGAAACCCUGACGCAGCAACGCCGCGUGGAGGAUGAAGUAUCUUGGUACGUAAACUCCUUUCGAUGGGGAAGAUAAUGACGGUACCCAUAGAAGAAGCCCCGGCUAACUUCGUGCCAGCAGCCGCGGUAAUACGAGGGGGGCAAGCGUUGUUCGGAUUUAUUGGGCGUAAAGGGUGCGUAGGCGGUUUGAUAAGUCUUCUGUGAAAUCUAUGGGCUCAACCUAUAGUCUGCAUGAGAAACUGUCGGGCUUGAGUAUUGGAGAGGUGAGUGGAAUUUCCGGUGUAGCGGUGAAAUGCGUAGAUAUCGGGAAGGAACACCUGUGGCGAAAGCGGCUCACUGGACAAUAACUGACGCUGAGGCACGAAAGCUAGGGGAGCAAACAGGAUUUAGAUACCCUGGUAGUCCUAGCCCUAAACGAUGAUUGCUUGGUGUGGC